rnacentral:rRNA from 1 species
AUACAGAGGGUGCAAGCGUUAUUCGGAAUUACUGGGCGUAAAGCGCGCGUAGGCGGAUGAUUAAGUCAGUUGUGAAAGCCCUGGGCUCAUCCUAGGAACUGCAUCUGAUACUGGUCGUCUAGAGUUUAAGAGAGGGAAGUGGAAUUCCAGGUGUAGCAGUGAAAUGCGUAGAUAUCUGGAGGAACAUCAGUGGCGAAGGCGACUUCCUGGCUUAAAACUGACGCUGAGGUGCGAAAGCGUGUGUAGCGAACGGGAUUAGAAACCCUAGUAGUCC